rnacentral:lncRNA from 1 species
UAUGGAAAAUUAAAAUUAGAUUUCUUGUAACCCUGAACAUUGUUCUGUCAUGUAUUCAGCUAUUUUGCAUUUGACGUUUGCUUCUAUCAUUGAACUUUGCUUAGGUAUUAUUCUGAAAAUGGCCCACUUGAUAAAAGAUGGUUCCCAGGGGAGGAAGAACACUCCUGAAUCUUUGAUCAAACCUCCAGCAAAGACUUUGAUAAUACCGGGUAAAGAGCUUGUGCAAGUUAUCGCAAAGGUUUGUGUGUAACUUUUAUGAUUUUUGCUUGCACACUCCUGAAUCCUUGAUCAAACCUCCAACAAAGACUUUGAUAAUACCGGGUAAAGAGCUUGUGCAAGUUAUCGCUAAGGUUUGUGUGUAACUUUUAUGAUUUUUGCUUGCAAUUGUUUUAUUUACUUUGGUAAAAAAUUUCUAACUUUGGCAUAGUUCUUAAAUGAUCAACCAAACAAUUGACGCUGUGAUAUAAGAUUGUGGUGGCAUUUCAUGCAAGACUAAGAUAUAAAUAGAAUCAGAUUUUAUGGCUGUCUAUCUGUUAGUUUAAUCUGUAAUAAUGGGGCUAUUGCUUCGGAAUAGGGUGUGCCUGCAACUUUAGAUGUCUUCCAAGCCGAAUUGCUGCGGGAAAAGCAGCAGGAGCUUUUGACAGAUUCAUGCAUAUCAC